AUCACCAACAACUCUUCCUUCAACAACUCCAUCACCAACAACUCUUCCUUCAACAACUCCAUCACCAACAACUCCUCCUAUUCUCUUUGAAUACAUCAUUUUGGUUGAGUUGAACACCACAGAUACUCUAAUAAAUCAACUGAGUACCAUUCUGAGAAGCAUCCGUUACCCCUUUAUCCUCAACAACGCACAAAUCCUUGAUGUAAACAUUUCUACAGUUUGCUCUCCGAGCAGUUCUGGUUACCAGUGCAGAUGUGAGGAUCAGUAUCGUUGGUCAUGUGACCAGUGUUUACAGUAUACAUCCUGUGACAACAUCACUGGGGACACAUGUGGAUGCAUCAAUGCCAUUCCUCCUGAUGGACAAUACUGCCAGCCUUCUGGUCAAAACA